rnacentral:rRNA from 1 species
GACGUAGGGCGCGAGCGUUGUCCGGAUUUAUUGGGCGUAAAGAGCUCGUAGGCGGCUUGUUGCGUCGGCUGUGAAAACCCAUGGCUUAACCGUGGGCUUGCAGCCGAUACGGGCAGGCUAGAGUUCGGUAGGGGAGACUGGAAUUCCUGGUGUAGCGGUGAAAUGCGCAGAUAUCAGGAAGAACACCCGUGGCGAAGGCGGUUCUCUGGGACGGUACUGACGCUGAGGAGCGAAAGCGUGGGUAGCAAACAGG